CUCGAGGCCAGAUCUAGAGUUUGAUCCUGGCUGAGAUUGAACGCUGGCGGCAUGCCUUACACAUGCAAGUCGAACGGCAGCAUGGGAGCUUGCUCCUGAUGGCGAGUGGCGAACGGGUGAGUAAUAUAUCGGAACGUGCCCUAGAGUGGGGGAUAACUAGUCGAAAGACUAGCUAAUACCGCAUACGAUCUACGGAUGAAAGUGGGGGAUCGCAAGACCUCAUGCUCCUGGAGCGGCCGAUAUCUGAUUAGCUAGUUGGUGGGGUAAAAGCCUACCAAGGCGACGAUCAGUAGCUGGUCUGAGAGGACGACCAGCCACACUGGGACUGAGACACGGCCCAGACUCCUACGGGAGGCAGCAGUGGGGAAUUUUGGACAAUGGGGGCAACCCUGAUCCAGCAAUGCCGCGUGAGUGAAGAAGGCCUUCGGGUUGUAAAGCUCUUUUGUCAGGGAAGAAACGGUAGUAGCUAAUAUCUAUUACUAAUGACGGUACCUGAAGAAUAAGCACCGGCUAACUACGUGCCAGCAGCCGCGGUAAUACGUAGGGUGCAAGCGUUAAUCGGAAUUACUGGGCGUAAA
rnacentral:rRNA from 1 species